GGGAGCUUCACAGACUGUGUCCACCAUGGCCUGGACCCCUCUCCUCCUUGGGCUCCUCUCUUACUGCACAGGUUCCCUCUCCCAGCCAGUGAUGACCCAGCCGCCCUCCCUCUCUGCAUCCCUGGGAUCCUCUGUGAGACUCACCUGCACCCUCAGCAGUGGCUUCAGUGUUGGCAGCUAUACCAUAUCCUGGUACCAGCAGAAGCCAGGGAGCCCUCCCCAGUAUCUCCUGUACUACUACUCAGACUCAAGUAAGCACCAGGGCUCCGGGGUCCCCAGCCGCUUCUCUGGAUCCAAAGACACCUCGGCCAAUGCAGGCCUUUUGCUCAUCUCUGGGCUCCAGGCUGAAGAUGAGGCUGAAUAUUACUGUGCUAUUGCUCAUGGCAGUGGGAGCAGCUACAGUUCCUCACAGUGACUCAGAAGACGAGGAAGUGAGACAAAAACCCCUGGGCCCACAGAGCUUAGUUCUCUUUUCAAU